AUCAGCCAGAGGCCUGUGAUGGAUGUUCAGAUCAACCUGAAGGUGCCUUUGUGCUACACAUAUGUAUGACCUCAAGCACUGGGUCUAUCCAUUCUGGGUUUCUAAAUAUCCAGGAAUUUGGGAUCUUUGUAGACCCAUAGUUCCCUUUUAAUAUUUCCCUUUCUCCUCCAGGAAUCAGACGGAUUCCUCUUUCCAGACCCUGGCGGGGUGCUGAAUGGUCUAUGGGAGAAGAAUUGCUCUGGACUGAGUGUAUUGACGGGGAACGAGAUGAGGACAAACUGAUCUCCAGCCAUAUGGACCUGAAGAGGUGUCUCUGUUCCAUACCCUGUGAGAAGAUUCCUGGGCUCUAGGGAGAGGAUGGCUCUGUUAAACUAUUCGUGAAGUUCCGGGAGUCACUGAUGCGCCUGGAUUGUGACUGAUGGGCCAGUGGCACCUUCCAUCCGAGACGAACUCCAAGAAUUUCCGCUGCUGGCAGUGACCUCCCGGGCUGGGAGGAUCAGCUGCAUCUGCCUCCAGGAAUGUGGGACCUAGAGACACCAAACCUAGGAAGGCCUCCAUGAGGCCCGAAGCUUUAGUUCUAGAAAAUUCCGAGGGCUCCUAGCUCCCCCGCCCAUUUCCCUCCUUCUCCCUAAAUGUGAAGUCACCGCAGGCUGCCCUUGAGAUUUUCUGGAAAUGGAAAAUGAGAAAUCCUAGAGAGUUAGAUUUGAAACCGAAUUUAGUGGCCGUGGGGAUUUUUACCAGCCGGUGCUAUCCACAUGCUUGACCAAGGGCUGGGUGAAUGGCUCAGGUAGGUCACCUGAGCUUAGAUGGAUCACCUGCUCCCUCUGGUCCUUGCAGAAUGGGAACCCCAGCUCCUGGAGCUGUUGACUGGUUUUCACGGUGAUUAGGCUAAGUUUGGA